rnacentral:rRNA from 1 species
GAUGAACGCUGGCGGCGUGCCUAAUACAUGCGAGUCGAGCGAACAGACGAGGAGCUUGCUCCUCUGACGUUAGCGGCGGACGGGUGAGUAACACGUGGAUAACCUACCUAUAAGACUGGUAUAACUUCGGGAAACCGGAGCUAAUACCGGAUAAUAUAUUGAACCGCAUGGUUCAAUAGUGAAAGACGGUUUUGCUGUCACUUAUAGAUGGAUCCGCGCCGCAUUAGCUAGUUGGUAAGGUAACGGCUUACCAAGGCAACGAUGCGUAGCCGACCUGAGAGGGUGAUCGGCCACACUGGAACUGAGACACGGUCCAGACUCCUACGGGAGGCAGCAGUAGGGAAUCUUCCGCAAUGGGCGAAAGCUUGACGGAGCAACGCCGCGUGAGUGAUGAAGGUCUUCGGAUCGUAAAACUCUGUUAUUAGGGAAGAACAAAUGUGUAAGUAACUAUGCACGUCUUGACGGUACCUAAUCAGAAAGCCACGGCUAACUACGUG